AGCGAACGCUGGCGGCAGGCCUAACACAUGCAAGUCGAACGAACCCUUCGGGGUUAGUGGCGGACGGGUGAGUAACACGUGGGAACGUGCCUUUAGGUUCGGAAUAACUCAGGGAAACUUAUGCUAAUACCGAAUGUGCCCUUCGGGGGAAAGAUUUAUCGCCUUUAGAGCGGCCCGCGUCUGAUUAGCUAGUUGGUGAGGUAAUGGCUCACCAAGGCUACGAUCAGUAGCUGGUCUGAGAGGAUGACCAGCCACAUUGGGACUGAGACACGGCCCAAACUCCUACGGGAGGCAGCAGUGGGGAAUCUUGCGCAAUGGGCGAAAGCCUGACGCAGCCAUGCCGCGUGAAUGAUGAAGGUCUUAGGAUUGUAAAAUCCUUUCACCGGUGAAGAUAACGACUGUAGCCGGAGAAGAAGCCCCGGCUAACUUCGUGCCAGCCGCCGCCGUAAAAC
rnacentral:rRNA from 1 species